rnacentral:tRNA from 1 species
AAAUUUAUAGUAAGAGGUUCCUCUAUCCCCA